rnacentral:lncRNA from 1 species
GUAGGCAUGCAUCAACCAUAUUUACUGUUGCCGUGGGGAACGGGUCAGUAUCAACACUCAUCUUCUUCUCUGGAAAUUUCAAUUUGCCAUUAUCAAUCCAGCUUUGGACAUUGUCUCGAAACACGAUACAAUUGUUUGUCGUAUGCUUGCUUGAAUUGUGGUAUUUACAAUAUACCUUUCCUUUAAGCUCUUCGGCCUUGGGAAUGUUGUGACCAGGCCGAAGCUUGAUGAUUCUUGCUGAUAACAGUUGGUCAAAAAUUGCGUCAGCCUUUGUAAUAUCAAAAGUAUAAACUUUUGACGGUUUCAACGUUCCCUCAGUGGCCGAACGGCUUUUGACUUCCCUAGAGUCAACUUGAGUUAAUGCCUUGCAGACGUAUGGCUUAUCUAUCACUAUCUCAGCUGCAUCCACACUGACGCAUUCAUCCUCGGUUGAUGCAUAAUUGACAGUAGGAUUCUUGUAAAUCGUCCCCCGAGUUGGACCUUCGACAUUUUUUCCUCGCGGAGCAAGUAAUCAUACUGCUCGACAUGCUGGGCUAAUUCGUACAUAUCCUGAAAGUUUGCCACCAAGAAUUUCUUUUUGUAUUCGACGUCGAGGCCGUUCAAAGCAAGCCUGACAAAUUCGACUUCGGGUAAAGGCACUCGGCACCAAUUCCUGGCUGACUUGAACCUGGUAAGAUAAUCCAUUGGUGACUCAUCAGAUGCUUGAGCCAUCCUUGCUAAUGAGGAAACUGACAUCUCCAUUCCUGGCCGAUAAAACUGCUCGUGGAAUUUCUCGACCAACCCUUCCCAGUUUUGGACGGAAUUAGGAGGGAGAUUGAUAUACCAGGCGAAUG